AUUGAACGCUGGCGGAAUGCUUUACACAUGCAAGUCGAGCGGCAGCGCGGGGGCAACCCUGGCGGCGAGCGGCGAACGGGUGAGUAACAUAUCGGAACGUACCCAGUCGUGGGGGAUAACUAUCCGAAAGGAUAGCUAAUACCGCAUACGUCCUGAGGGAGAAAGCGGGGGAUCGCAAGACCUCGCGCGAUUGGAGCGGCCGAUAUCGGAUUAGCUAGUUGGUGGGGUAAAGGCUCACCAAGGCGACGAUCUGUAGCGGGUCUGAGAGGAUGAUCCGCCACACUGGAACUGAGACACGGUCCAGACUCCUACGGGAGGCAGCAGUGGGGAAUUUUGGACAAUGGGCGCAAGCCUGAUCCAGCCAUGCCGCGUGAGUGAAGAAGGCCUCGGUU
rnacentral:rRNA from 1 species